GAUGAAGAACGCAGUGAAAUGCGAUAAGUAAUGUGAAUUGCAGAAUUCAGUGAAUCAUCGAAUCUUUGAACGCACCUUGCACCCUUUGGCAUUCUGAAGGGUAUGCUCGUUUGAGUGUCAUUGUACUCUCACACUCCCGAUCUUUGCAUUGGGAGCAGUGGACUUGGGUUUGCUGCUUCACCGUCGCUUACCUCAAAUAGGUUAGUGCAACUCUUGGUUGGACAUAGUACGGCGUGAUAAGUGUUCUUCGCCGGUGCCUCGCAAAGAGGGUGGCCGAUCGGGAUGUUGUGCUCCAAACCGUCUUCGGACAAUCUCUGACGACUUGACCUCAAAUCGAGUAAGACUACCCGCUGAACUUAAGCAUAUCAAUAAGCGGGGA
rnacentral:misc_RNA from 1 species